rnacentral:rRNA from 1 species
AGUGAACGCUGGCGGUAGGCCUAACACAUGCAAGUCGAACGGCAGCACAGUAGGAGCUUGCUCUUACGGGUGGCGAGUGGCGGACGGGUGAGGAAUACAUCGGAAUCUACUUUUUCGUGGGGGAUAACGUAGGGAAACUUACGCUAAUACCGCAUACGACCUACGGGUGAAAGCAGGGGAUCUUCGGACCUUGCGCGAUUGAAUGAGCCGAUGUCGGAUUAGCUAGUUGGCGGGGUAAAGGCCCACCAAGGCGACGAUCCGUAGCUGGUCUGAGAGGAUGAUCAGCCACACUGGAACUGAGACACGGUCCAGACUCCUACGGGAGGCAGCAGUGGGGAAUAUUGGACAAUGGGCGCAAGCCUGAUCCAGCCAUACCGCGUGGGUGAAGAAGGCCUUCGGGUUGUAAAGCCCUUUUGUUGGGAAAGAAAAGCAGCAGGUUAAUACCCCGCUGUUCUGACGGUACCCAAAGAAUAAGCACCGGCUAACUUC